rnacentral:rRNA from 1 species
GAUGAACGCUGGCGGCGUGCCUAAUACAUGCAAGUAGAACGCUGAAGGAAGGAGCUUGCUCUUUCCGGAUGAGUUGCGAACGGGUGAGUAACGCGUAGGUAACCUGCCUGGUAGCGGGGGAUAACUAUUGGAAACGAUAGCUAAUACCGCAUAACAGUAGAUGUUGCAUGAUAUCUACUUAAAAGGUGCAAUUGCACCACUACCAGAUGGACCUGCGUUGUAUUAGCUAGUUGGUGAGGUAACGGCUCACCAAGGCGACGAUACAUAGCCGACCUGAGAGGUUGAUCGGCCACACUGGGACUAUGACACGGCCCAGACUCCUACAGGAGGCAGCAGUAGGGAAUCUUCGGCAAUGGACGGAAGUCUGACCGAGCAACGCCGCGUGAGUGAAGAAGGUUUUCGGAUCGUAAAGCUCUGUUGUAAGAGAAGAACGAGUGUGAGAGUGGAAAGUUCACACUGUGACGGUAUCUUACCAGAAAGGGACGGCUAACUACGUG